rnacentral:vault_RNA from 1 species
GGGCCAGCUUAGCCUAGCGGUUUCAUCUGUCACAGCUAUGGACGCUAUCCCGGUGGUUCGAGUCCCGCGGGCGCUGCCUGGUCUUUUG